CAGCAGCCGCGGUAAUACGUAGGGUGCGAGCGUUAAUCGGAAUUACUGGGCGUAAAGCGUGCGCAGGCGGUUUUGUAAGGCAGGCGUGAAAUCCCCGGGCUCAACCUGGGAAUGGCGCUUGUGACUGCAAAGCUAGAGUGCGGCAGAGGGGGAUGGAAUUCCGCGUGUAGCAGUGAAAUGCGUAGAUAUGCGGAGGAACGCCGAUGGCGAAGGCAAUCCCCUGGGCCUGCACUGACGCUCAUGCACGAAAGCGUGGGGAGCAAACAGGAUUAGAUACCCGAGUAGUCCCUGUCUCUUAUAA
rnacentral:rRNA from 1 species